rnacentral:rRNA from 1 species
GAUGAACGCUAGCUACAGGCUUAACACAUGCAAGUCGAGGGGUAACGAGAGGAAAGCUUGCUUUCCUUGUCGACGACCGGCGCACGGGUGAGUAACGCGUAUCCAACCUGCCCCCAACUAGGGAAUAACCUUGCGAAAGUAAGACUAAUACCCUAUAAUUUCCUCAGAUGUCAUCUGACGAGGAAUAAAGAUUUAUCGGUUGUGGAUGGGGCUGCGUCUGAUUAGCUUGUUGGCGGGGUAACGGCCCACCAAGGCAACGAUCAGUAGGGGUUCUGGGAGGAAGGUCCCCCACAUUGGAACUGAGACACGGUACAAACUCCCACGGGAGGCAGCAGUGAGGAAUAUUGGUCAAUGGGCGGAAGCCUGAACCAGCCAAGUAGCGUGCAGAAUGACGGCCCUAUGGGUUGUAAACUGCUUUUAUACAGGAAUAAAGUUAGCCACGUGUGGUUAUUUGUAGGUACUGUAUGAGUAAGGACCGGCUAAUUCCUUGCCAGCCGCCGCCGUAA